rnacentral:misc_RNA from 1 species
GUUGAUAUGAUGCCUACCAGGCUUUGUUGCAAGGAAGGCCAAUAUUAUAGAGAUUAGAAACCCAUUCAAGCAAUCAUGAGCAUAGAUUGAACUCCUUUGCCGAGCCCACACCUUUAGCAGUAUCAAGGCUUCCCCCAAUUCUUUCCAUCCAGAGAAAGUUCUUUUGACAAACUCGGCAUUAUCCUCAAGAAACAAAUCCUCCAAUAUACUAUUAUUGUACCUUGGUGUUGCUUGUAAAGCAUCUCCUUGUUUGAGAGUAU